CAGCCGCCGCGGUAAUACGAAGGGUGCAAGCGUUACUCGGAAUUACUGGGCGUAAAGCGUGCGUAGGUGGUGGUUUAAGUCCGUUGUGAAAGCCCUGGGCUCAACCUGGGAAUUGCAGUGAAUACUGGGUCACUAGAGUGUGGUAGAGGAUAGUGGAAUUUCCGGUGUAGCAGUGAAAUGCGUAGAGAUCGGAAGGAACAUCUGUGGCGAAGGCGACUAUCUGGGCCAACACUGACACUGAGGCACGAAAGCGUGGGGAGCAAACAGGAUUAGAUACCCCUGUAGUCCCUGUCUCUUAUAA
rnacentral:rRNA from 1 species